rnacentral:rRNA from 1 species
AGAACACCCGGCGAAUUUAAGCAUAUUACUAACCGGAGGAAAAGAAACCAACAGGACGUCCUCAGUAGCGGCGAGCGAAGCGGACGAUGCCCAAACCGAACCGCGGUUCCCGAGGGGCCGCGGAGUGUGGAGAGGAUGAGCUCGCGAGGGGGCGGGACGGGUUCCAAUCCGUCUGGAAGGGCGGAGGCACGGAGGGCGAUUCCCCGUACGUGCUCGGUCCGUCCCCGACGAGCGAACGCAUCGGAGAGUCGGGCCGCUUGAGAGUGCAGCCCGAAUGGGGUGAUAGGUCUCAUCCAAGGCUAAGUACGUGGGAGACGCCGAUAGCGAACAAGUACGGCGACGGAAAGGUGAAAAGAACCUCGAAAGGGGGUCAAAAGCGCUCGAAAUCGUAGAGGGGGAAGCGGACCUGACCGACGAGACCUCGUCGUCGCUCGCGCUCGACCCACGCUCGUCGCGGA